GUAACAAGGUUUCCGUAGGUGAACCUGCGGAAGGAUCAUUACAGUGCCCCCGCGGCAGGCCCGCGUCUCCCGCCCCGAGAGGGGUGUGUUUCGACGGCGCUGCCGCAACCGGCCCCACACUUGUCUACCUAACCUGUUGCCUCGGCGAGCCCGCCCCCCGCCCCCCCUAAAACAGGGGGCGAGGGGCCGCCGGAGGAGGGGAAGCCGCCCCGGCUCCCUCGCUUCUGGCCCGCGCUCGCCGGAGGACCAAAUCAAAAAACCUGAUAAUUUAGUGACGUCUGAGUGAGAAAUUACGAAUAAAUCAAAACUUUCAACAAUGGAUCUCUUGGUUCCGGCAUCGAUGAAGAACGCAGCGAAAUGCGAUAAGUAAUGUGAAUUGCAGAAUUCCGUGAAUCAUCGAAUCUUUGAACGCACAUUGCGCCCCCUGGUAUUCCGGGGGGCAUGCCUGUCCGAGCGUCAUUGCAACCCUCAAGCCCGGCUUGUGUUUUGGGCGGCCGUCCCGCGUGGACGCGCCCCAAUGGCAGUGACGGCAGCCGCGACUCCGGCGCCCGAGUGAAUGGAGGUAAAAAAACCACCGCUCGUAGGCGCAGGCCGGCUCCGGUCUUCUUUAACUAGAACGGGGAGUAAGAUCCCCAAUCGGUUGACCUCGGAUCAGGUAGGGAUACCCGCUGAACUUAAGCAUAUCAAUAA
rnacentral:misc_RNA from 1 species